rnacentral:lncRNA from 1 species
UUUGCUUUGUCUUGGGAAUUGUCCAGAAAUUGCUCCAAUGCUCUCAGAAAAAUGGCCAUCGGAACAUUCGAUGGUCUCAGUUGAUUUUCCUGUGGACUGUAGGCACCGACUGAUUCGACGAUAGCCAUUUGUUCCACACCGAAUGAGUCGAUGCUACUUUUCUCUUGUUUUCUUUGUUCCUUUUCUUGUCUUUGAUUGUCGUUGCUUCAUUAGGACCUAAAAUACCUUCAAUACAUAUUCUAAACACUUUGUUAGUCAUAAUGAUCGUGUUGUCACAUAAUCACUAAAAUCACAAACUAAUGGCCUAAUGGGGUAAUGUUCACUACAAUCUACCCCUUUUUGGUGAUUCAUGAUAACCCAAUCAAAACAAGUAUAAUUUUGCAAAAAUGUACCAAUUAAAGCACUUACACUUUGCUUGGAUGCUUACCAUGAUCCAACUUGCUCUUGAUCUCCACUUUGUUCAUUCUCAUUUCUUUCCCUUGACAUGCUUUUCCCUUUUUCUUGAACUUCUCCCCCCUAUGCAUGUUUACUUCUAGGCCUAUCUUGCUUUUAUUCCACACACCUCCCC